GCCGUAGGGUGCGAGCGUUGUCCGGAUUUAUUGGGCGUAAAGAGCUCGUAGGCGGCUCGUCGCGUCGACCGUGAAAACUUGGGGCUUAACCCUAAGCUUGCGGUUGAUACGGGCGGGCUAGAGUUCGGUAGGGGAGACUGGAAUUCCUGGUGUAGCGGUGAAAUGCGCAGAUAUCAGGAGGAACACCGGUGGCGAAGGCGGGUCUCUGGGCCGAUACUGACGCUGAGGAGCGAAAGCGUGGGGAGCGAACAGG
rnacentral:rRNA from 1 species